GUGUUUGAUCUGUAGAGCGGCCAGAGGAGCAGGCCAACAUAACACCAACGUGGUGAGCUUCCCCUCUCCACCAUCUAUCCCAGAUCUGAACAUCAACUACAAUUUCGCAAGGAAGAUGAGCUUCCAAAGUACAUCAUACGCGGUAUGUACAUUCCUGUCCCGACGCCGUGCCCGACGCGCUGGACUGGAGGCAUAGCGGCGCCGUCACCAUGGUCAAGCACCAGGGCAAGCGUGGUGCCAUGGAAGGACUAAACAAGAUCACGACAGGCUCUCUUCUCAGCCUUCCUGAGUAGAAACUAAUCAGUUGUGACAUAUCCCACAAUGCUGGUUGUGGCGGGUAGGCUCAGGAACUAUGCUUAUAAGUUUGUGAUUAAUAAUGGUGGGAGUGACACGAAGGAUGACUACCCGUUUGGUGAAUCAGAUGAAACAUGCAACAAAAACAAACUGAAAAAGCAUGUGGUAACAAUUGAUGGCUACUGAAGCGACGUCCUGCCGGUGUACAUCAGGGACGCCUGCACCAACGAUGAUGCCUUCAAGGUGCUGUGGAAGUGAGGUCAGGGCAUGGGGAUCCGGGCAAGUGCGCCAAGGAGACCGACACGUCUUACCCGCUCAUGACCCAAGCAGUGAUUUUCCAUUGCCUCUAGAUGUAUCAUGGACCGUCGCCAGCCUUUGGUUUUAGACGUGAACGUGUAUGUACUAGUACUUCAUAUUGCUAUAUUUUGAUUUUGACGAAAUAACAUCACGUGGUACAAUCAAGAAAGUGGAAGGGGCGCAUCCUAUCUAGCACCGCCCCAGCUUCCUCUCAGGCGGCGCACCUGGAUGCGCCCCAACCACUAGUCUGUUAGCAAAGAGAGCGGUUUUGUAUAGCUGGAGCUCCACGGUACCCUCUAUCAGGGCCGCACAAUAAAGAAUUAUUUUCCUCGAGAUACGUUCACAUGUUUAAGAUGAGCAGCUCUGCCACUGGAAUCAAAGCCUAAUACUCUGCAGGGGACUGAAAAAGAUUCGAAUUUGAUGGGCCUAGUAGGCUACUGGACAAGACAUGGAGGGCCAAGACUCAGGAAAAACAAAAGGACAGGACAAGACCGGACGACUCCUCUGUACAAAGCAGCGAGCUCGCUUCUUUCAACAUGAAAAGAGGUGAAGACACCAAGGAGGCAGAGGAGCCCGUAAUGGUGAUAGGGGCAGCUGCCGAACAGACUUCAACUGUGGCGCCUCCGGAUCCAUCCGCAAUGACAUCCGUCUCCAUCUUCCUGGAUCAGAGUGAAAUAGGUGGAAACAACGAUGCCAGACUGUUCCUCAGCUACUGUCUAUGGCACAAGGUUGCAUAGGCCUCUCACACUCUCUCCCAGACUGUUCCUCUGACAACCGGUGCAUGCCACUCUUUUCUCUUCCUUUUUCUUUCUCUAUCGACCCGUGCAUGCAAUUCUCUCUCUCUUAAUUUUGUAAAAAAACUUUGAACAACGGCACUCUCUCUCUUUAAAACUUGCAUGCAGCAGACUCUCUCUUUA